UUGUCUGCCUCACCUGGUCUCUCCCCACCAAACUGCACGAUUUCUUUCUCUGGGAGACACCUGGCUCCCCUUUCAACAAGAUGAACCAUUUUAAUCUACCUACUCAUUUCCACAAAACAUGAAGUUUACUUAGCAUUUUUUCUCUCUCUCCCUACAGCACACCUGCCUUCUCUAUCUCUUAUACCCUGCCUCCUCAACCAUUACACUCCCACAUUCCUUUGAGGGCUGCUCUUUCCCUCAGACAUCUGCAUUGAUAUAUAGAAUUGUCACCGAAUCCUAAAACACCCAUUGCUGCUUUGUGCUUUCAUAAAUGCAUAAAAAGAUGGGAAGUUCUUUUUCCACUUUAAAUUCUAAGGAAUUUUCAGGGAAAUGGUACCUGCCAUUCUGUUUUGAGUCACUAGUUAUAACAAGGUUGUCUGACCUACAACAGUUAGGAGGAGCUGGAGGUCAGCUUGUCCAGUUCAGUUACCAGACUCAGCUGGAAGGGAUCAUUUGAUGUUAAAAGGGGCAAGAGAGCUCAGUUAAGGGAGAUAUGCAAGGAACAAGUGGGUUUUUAUAACAGGCUCUGGAGUAGAGGGAAAAGAAGCAAUGAUCUUUGCAGCUUGCUUUUAGUUAAGGGAAAUCUUUUUUAUUUUUUUUUUUUGUAUCUGGAUAAUCAAUUCAGCUCUGUGGAAAAGAAUCUAGUUUUUCCCCCUGAUAUCAGAACUUCCUGGGGAGCUGAGGCCACAAUUUAGAAACAGCUGAUCAUGCUAGCGAGUGGGUGCUCCAUUUUGAAAUUAGGGAAAUCUGUUCCUUGCUACUUCUUUUUGGUCUUCUGAAUGAUCACCUGCAAAGCAGUGGGAUGAAUUUUUAAAGCUUGAAAUAUAGUGGAUGCGUCUUUUAAUCUGACAAUAGGGAAACCAGACCAACUCAGAGAGCUGUUGCUCCCUCCCCAUCACCGCAGUCUGAAUCUUUAUCUCUGAGCUCAAGAAGAGGGACUUCUGUUAAGUCAGAGGAAAUGGAACUGCUGUCUCGCGUUAUUUUAGUUCUGUGUCAUCCUGCUCCUCUCUGCCCACUGGAAGAAGGAUAUUCAACUGGUACUUUAGCAAGAGCUGUGCUGAGGUUAUACUUCUUCUCGCCAACAAGAGGUCCAGUCUGAUAGCCAGUCCAUCUCUAAGGAACAGAAUUGGAUGCUCGCUCCUUGAAUCAGGACCACGGAGAACUAGGGAGGGUAAGAGACUGAAAAGCCAGGGGUCUCAGACUGAGAAAAAAACAGCUCCUCACCUGCUCUAGAAGCUGUGCCUUGGGGGGCACUCUCAGAGACGUGGCAAGACUGCGAUGGUCCUGAGCAAGCACCUCUCCUGGGAGGACUCUGGGACAAAAAGCUCUGGUGGAAGACAGAUAUAGAGCGGAUACAUGACAUUUACUAGCAAAGUUGCAACAUCAUGUAUAAAAGUCACUUGUAUGUCUUGGAGAGAACAUUUUGUAUGUGUUCAUAGCAACUUAUGAAAAGCAAAACCUGAGUGUAGUGUGAUUUAAAAGUGACUGACAACUAUAGGCUUGUCAUUUGCCGGGGGGUGAGGACCUGUAAUAUUUCAUGCAAACCAAAAAGGGUCCGUCAAUAAGACUGCUGCUUUAAGAGGGGAAGUUGCCAAGUUUGCUCAUAGAGCAGAAGGGACUAGGGCCUGCUGCAGACAAGAAGUUGUCCUAGAGGCACAUCCUAGUCUGUUCCCUGUAGACAAGCAGAAGAACAGUGGGAAGAGGUCUGGGGUUCUUAGAGAUGCCCCAGAAUCCCACUACUUUCACAAACGUAAUUUGACUAAACUCUAAGACUGAAUCAGUCUAAUACUUUCAUGCUGGUAAUGUUACGCUAAUGUUCAGAGAGAACAGUUAUAUUGAAAUAAGCUUCUUAAUGGAACAGAAGAGAGCAUGUAAGAUUUCUUUAUGCUUAAAUAGAAUUAUUUAUUACCUUUUCUAUCAUAUAGUAUUAAGCACAAUUUAGUUGAUCACAUGGGAUAAAUGAGGUUGUUAUUUUUGUUGGUAAAGUGGUACGUGUAAUGCUUUAGUAAACAAAUUAAUUUAAAAACUCUAUAAACAUUUUAGUUGAAUGUUAAGUUGCACUCUGCUGAAAUGUGGCACAUUUUAACAUUUAGUAGAUGCUGGAAUUAAGCUGGUAAAAUUCACAUUUGGAUUCCUGGAAAUGGUACUGGAAAAUUAAGAGGAAAGAUCAACAGGGAUAGCUGUAGGGGUAAUGGUCACUAAACCAUUGUCAGUAGGGCAUUGAACUACCCAAAGGGGAGCAGAGUGACAAAUUUAGGGCUGGGCCCAGUAGUUCUAAUGCAAGCAGAACUCCUCCUAGCUGGUCCUGCUUCUUCAAGUCAUCUGAAAAUGUUUCAUUUAGUUCAGGCACCAUCUACAUGUUGCACUUAAACUGUGAUUAACCACAAGUUCAAUUAAGCAUGAUAUAAAGAUGAAUAUGCUACAAAUUAUUCCACAAAAUAUGUGUAAUAACUCUAUGGCUCCUUCUUAUCAUGCCAUUAAUUAAACAUGUGGCCAAGGGCCCCUGCAGCUGGGAGCCUGGGACAGCUGAUCAGAGCUACAGCUUGGGGGAUAGCUGUUUAACUGAUAUGGUGUUCCAGCUGCGGGGGUGUUGCAUGUGCUUGGAGCACCCCUGCAGCUGAGACACUGCAUCAGCUGUGGUCUCCCUGCUGUGGGGACCCCAGGAAGUCCCUAUGGCUGGGACCUCGAGUCAGCUGUGUGUGGCCAGAUGUUAAAAAUGAUACUGGUAUCUUUUGAUGCUGGUAUAAGUUGCUAUGGUAUAACUGUUACAUUUGUAUAUGCCUGUAAGCGGAGCAAAACAGUUGAGACUUUUAACCCUGUUUCAUUCAGGGUUAAAUGAUGCACUACUAAGAUGUGGGGCUUUCUCUUUUUGUAUAUACUUAAUCCUGUAAAGUACCAAGCAUGCUGUUUUCCAAAUUGGCUUCAGCAGUUGUUGAAAGUACCCGACACAUUGCCAAAGUACUCAACACCUUGCAGGAAGCAAAUUUAAAGAGCAUUUAUUUAAAUAUGUGAUGCACUGAUAUACUGUUUCCAGAUGUAGCAGCCUUUAAAAAAUGGACCCACCUGAACAGAAUGGGAAGAGCUGCCUGGCAGAGACAGAGUUUGUCCCAGAGGGGACACUAGGCUCUGAGGGCAAGUGAAGCUGUUUGGGAGCAGCCCUGUUGGAAGUGGGAGGGGUGAUGUAACCCCAGCAAAGUUUUGAAAGAGAGCGUUAGCAAAAGCCCGGGAAGGGCCCUGAGCUGGGAUUGGCUG